rnacentral:rRNA from 1 species
AGCAGUCGCCGCGGGAAUACGUAGGUGGCGAGCGUUGUCCGGAAUCAUUGGGCGUAAAGGGAGCGCAGGCGGGCAUGUAAGUCUUUCUUAAAAGUUCGGGGCUCAACCCCGUGAUGGGAAAGAAACUACAUGUCUUGAGUACAGGAGAGGAAAGCGGAAUUCCCAGUGUAGCGGUGAAAUGCGUAGAUAUUGGGAGGAACACCAGUGGCGAAGGCGGCUUUCUGGACUGCAACUGACGCUGAGGCUCGAAAGCCAGGGGAGCGAACGGGAUUAGAUACCCCCGUAGUCCCUGUCUCUUAUACA